rnacentral:rRNA from 1 species
CGGUCAUAAACAUCGUUGAACGCUGGCAGGAUGCUUUACAUGCAAGUCGGGCGGCAGCACGGACUUCAGUCUGGUGGCGAGUGGCGAACGGGUGAGUAAUGUAUCGGAACGUGCCUAGUAGCGGGGAUAACUACGCGAAAGCGUAACCUUCACAUACGCCUUCGGGGAAAGCGGGGGACCUUCGGGCCUCGCACUAAUGCCGAGCAGCCGAUAUCGGUUCGCUAGUUGGUGGGGCAACGGCUCACCAAGGCGACGUCCGUAGCUGGUUUGAGAGGACGACCAGCCACUGGGACUGAGACACGGCCCAGACUCCUGCGGGAGGCAACGGUGAAAUUUUGGACAAUGGGGGAAACCCUGAUCCAGCGCUCCCGCGUGUGCAGUGAGCCUUCGGGUUGUAAAGCACUUUUGGCAGGAAAGAAACGGCCCGGGAUAUUACCCCGUGCAACUGACGGUACCUGCAGAAUAAGCACCGGCUAACCGUGCCAGCAGCCGCGGUAAUACACGUAGGGUGCAAGCGUUAAUCGGAAUUACUGGGCGUAAAGCGUGCGCAGACGGUUCGGAAGAAAGAUGUAGAAAUCAGAGCUUACUUUAGGCACAUUUUUUAACUACCGAGCUAGAGUGUGUCAGAGGAGGUGGGAAUUCACGACAACAGCAGUGAAAUGCGUAGAUAUGCGGAGGAACACCGAUAGCGAAGGCAGCCUCCUGGGAUAACACUGACGCUCAUGCGAAAGCAUGCAGUGGGGAGCAAACAGGAUUAGAUACCCUGUUGGUCCACGCCUAAACGAUGUCAGCUAGCUGUUGGCCCUUCUGAGCAUGGUAGCGCAGCCUAACGCGAAGCAGUUGACCGCCUGGGGAGUACGGUCGCAAGAUUGGAAAACUCAAAGGAAUUGACGGGGACCCGCACAAGCGGUGGAUAGUGGAUUAAUUCGAUGCAACGCGAAAAACCUUACCUACCUUGACAUGUCUGGAAUCCCGAAGAGAUUUGGGAGUGCUCAUAGAAACCGGAACACAGGUGCACACAUGGCUGUCGUCAGCUCGUGUCGUGAGAUGUUGGGUUAAGUCCCGCAACAGGCACAGCCCUUGUCAUUAAGUUGCUACGAAGGCACUCUAUUAGACUACCGGUGACAAACCGGAGGAAGGUGGGGAUGACGUCAAGUCCUCAUGGCCCAUAUGGAGCCAAGGGCUUCACAUCAUACAAUGGUCAGGACAGGGUCGCCAACCCGCGAAGGGAGCCGAACUCGAAACCCGAUCAUGAUUACGGAUCGCAGUCUGCAACUCGACUGCGUGAAGUCGGAAUCGCUAGUAAUCGCGGAUCAGCAUGUCGCGGUGAAUACGUUCCGGGUCGCCCCUGUACACACACCGCCCGUCACACCAUGGGAGUGGGUUUUGCAAGAAGUAGUUAACCUAACCGUAAGGAGGCGAUUACCACAGUAGAGGAUUCAUGACUGGGGUGAAGUGGCAACAAGGUAG